GACUCGAUAACUCAAUAGGUAGAGCAGCGGUCUGGAUACCCGAAGAUGUGAGUUCAAAUCCCACUCGAGCCA
rnacentral:tRNA from 1 species